rnacentral:lncRNA from 1 species
GAAAUCUCUAGGCCAAGACCUGAAAAUAGAAAGGCAGUUUGUCUAGAGGCGGAGUGGAAGUGUUACACUGAACACGGGCGAUGGGAAGCAGGGCAGUACAUGGGGCUGGACGGCCUGCGGCCCUGGACACAGCCCCCGAAGACCAGUGCAUCUGGGUAGAAUGACGCUCCCUCUAGCAGGUGGCACCAGGGAAGCCAAAUCGGUACCCGGUGAGUUCUCUUAGGUGGCCUGUGCCUCGCAAGCCCUGUGCCAACCCCAAAGGGAAGUGAGGGACAGAGGACGGUGGCAGCUUGUUGGCAGGGGCUAUUCCCCACCACAGUCUCCUGUGGGCACCACCUCUCCCCUUGUGACAGCCCUUUCUGUGCAGAGAGGAAGUGGCUUGCAGUGCUGUGGGGUAACUGCUGGCAGAAAUGUCUAGAAGGGCCGGACGUCUGAAGGCUGGGAGAAAUGCUCAGUCUUAUUUAAACACACAGCAAAUCUCUUAGGGACUUCCCAUCUGUUGGUAUUCUUGGCAUCAAGUAAAAGAUGAAUUGGAGCCUCAUUCCUGGCUCUUGUCUGAAUCAGCACAGACGGGUCAUGGUACAUAUUCUGGUCACAUCACGGAGUCACCCUUUUUUUCUGACACUGGGAUUUCAGUGACGCUAAUAUCCAUGGACACUGUGGAUAAAAAGAGGUGGUAUCUCAAGGGAGAGAGCUUAGGAGGGCCGCCAAUGUGUAACCACCAGAGAAAGGCUUAACGUAGCCGUCUGGCAAAGCAGGUUCAAGGACAUUCUACCUGUGCCCAAGAACCACCUAUCCCAAGGAGGAUGUCAUGGCAGAGACGCCACUCUGCGGGAAACUCGCCCUAGGAGGGACGUUGGAGCCCGCUGGCAGGAACAAUAGCGUCUGCGGCGUUACGGUGCUCGGUGAACGACAUGGGACCGAGCAGAAGCAUCAGCAGCGCUGGCAGGUAGUUUAGGGCCCAUCAAAAGAGAAAAGGAUCCCAUGGAAACAGCGGUACCCAGCGAGGCUACGCCCUCACCAGGCUCACCUAGAGCACGGAGUAGACGAGGGGCUGGAGUCGAAGAAUAAAUCUCUACUACAGCACGUGAUCUGUCUUGCUUCUAGACACAUAUGGAAAACCCAGGAAUCUCCCCAAACUAUGUGUAGGAGAGGACUUUGCAGGGGACCCUAUUCCUGAACUAGUCAGAGGGGUGUUGGAAAAAGAAUCUGAGAGAAGACGGAUUCACGCGUUCAUUUACCGCUACUGAGUUCAGGCACUCCGGUACGUAUGGAGAUAAAAAAGGCAACAACAGAGGCAUGAUCCUCAUUCU